UACGUAGGGGGCAAGCGUUGUCCGGUUUUAUUGGGCGUAAAGAGCGUGUAGGCGGCCUGAAAGGUCAGCUGUGAAAACUCGAGGCUCAACCUCGAGACGUCGGUUGAAACCAUCUGGCUAGAGUCCGGAAGAGGAGAGUGGAAUUCCCGGUGUAGCGGUGAAAUGCGCAGAUAUCGGGAAGAACACCCGUGGCGAAGGCGGCUCUCUGGGACGGUACUGACGCUGAGACGCGAAAGCGUGGGGAGCGAACAGG
rnacentral:rRNA from 1 species